rnacentral:rRNA from 1 species
GACGAACCGUGCGAACGUUGUUCGGAAUCACUGGGCAUAAAGGGCGCGUAGGCGGCUUAUCAAGUCAGGGGUGAAAUCCGGCAGCUCAACUGUCGAAGUGCCUUUGAUACUGAUGAGCUCGAGGGAGGUAGGGGUCUGUGGAACUUCCGGUGGAGCGGUGAAAUGCGUUGAUAUCGGAAGGAACGCCGGUGGCGAAAGCGACGGACUGGACCUCUUCUGACGCUGAGGCGCGAAAGCUGGGGGAGCAAACGGG